AAGCCUGUCUCUACAAAAAAUACAAAAUUAGCAGGGUGUGGUGGCACAUGCCUGUAGUCUCAGCUACUUGGAAGGCUGAGGCAUGAGAAUCAUUUGAAUCUGGGAAGCGAAGGUUGCAGUGAGCCAAGAUUGCACCACUGCACUCCAGCCUGGGCAACAGAGCUAGGCUCUGUUAAAAAAAAAAAAAAAAAGGAAAAGAAGCCUUAGAAUCCUCAUGACAAUUAUGACAAUUGCAACUGCUUAUUGAUAAAAUCUGAUUUGUGUUUUUAGGAACUGGGAACUGUACAGAUAGUAGGACUCAUACCCAAAUGGGUAAAAUUUCCUCAAAGUCUUUCAGGGUUGGCAUUGUAAAAGUGAUGAGGUCAAGGUAUAAGGCAAAUAUGGAAAGAUCUUUCCCUUCUCCACUUUCAUUCUAGCAUAUGACACUUUUAGUCUGACUAUUUCAGCUUUCUCUUCUCAUAGGAAGUGGACACUCAGUGGGGAAGAGCAAAGAGAUUUAGCUUAGAUGUUACCCAGUAACUAGAACAAAGUCAUUAAUAAUACGGAGUUGAAGUCAGAGACUAACUGUUUCAGUUAAGUGAAAACCAUUUGGAAUAAUGAAAGAGGACUGGAAUUAGUUUAUAAGUUGCUAAUUCCUGCUCUGGGCCAAUGUUUAUCAAACACUAGGCAUUAUACCAGUGCCAACACAUUUAAUCCUCAAAUGAGGUGUCCCAUUUUAAAGUUAAAGAAACAAAGGAUAGGAGAGGUGAGUCACCAAGCUCACGGGUGGAAUUUUAAUUCUUAUGACAAUCUUUAAAAACCUCUAUAUACAUACUCUGGACCAUCUAAUACAUAGGUCCUGGAUGAUAACCUUAUAAUCAAGUACUGCCAUGCAAUUUCAGGAACCUCAUUUUUUUGUUUAGGUUUAUGACUAAGUGAACUUCAAGUGAAGAUCAUAUGACAUUGAAGCUUACUCUAAGAAUGAAGGUUUCCUAGCAGCGAUGUGAGAACUGAGUCAUCACCGGUCAUCCACACCAAUCCCAUAAAAGCCUGCUCUGAACAGUCAGUGGCAUACUCUUGCUGCCGAAGGCAGAACUGGGAACUGUCAAUAGACUCUCCUUCAACUAACAGACUUGUCUGAUCCAUGAAGCCUCCCCUAAACUUGCUUUUCACCACUCUGGUCUAUACUGAAAAUUUCAUUUUUUAAGGAUCAAAGAAAAGAGUUGCCAAAAUGUAAAGGCUAUGGAAAUGCUGCAUAAUAAUUUGAACUAGCUCAAAGAAAAUGAAGCUUCAGUCCACAAAAAGAAUCUAAGUACUUAAUUUCACAUGCUCCACUGGACAAGGUGCUGAAGGUAAGGCAAGCUGACUGAAAUGAAAAGCAAGGGGAAGAUUCAAGAAUUUUGUAUGAUGGUGUUGGACAGAAGCUCUGGUAGUCAGGACAAAUUAUGGUACCAUAUAGAAUGGAGGCUCCACUGAUAUUGGGAAGCUGAAACCCAUUCUACACUCACAGCAUGUUAUGCACCUAAUUGGAAAAUUGGAGUAAGAAGGUAAUCAGAAUGGUUGAAUAUUAAAGGACUUCAUAUAGUGCUAUAGGUAUACAUAUAGUAUUUAUAUAAUACAUAUAUGUGUCUCUGCCUGUCUUUCCUGUACCAUCAUUCACUAUUCCCUCACCUCAAAUGUUAUACUUCAGUCAUUUAGAACUAUUUGGAACUUCCCAUAAGGACUGUGCUUUCUCUCAUUUUCAGAGCCAACACAUGCCCAGUUUAUGAUAAGCAUUCAGCAAAUUUCAGUUGAACUGCAUUCAAUGGAAUAAAUAAAUGCCAUUAAAUAUGUGAACUAUUUAAAUUCCCAUUCACCAAAUCUCCAAUGCAUCACAUGUCUAUGUCUCAUUUGUCUUUCAAAUGAAGUACCGUCUUUCAGUAAGCAUUCCCUAACUAGCACCCCAUUCCCCAACUCAUUCCACCAACUCAACAGUCUGAUUAAGUGAUGUUCUAAUGUAAUCCCACAGCUCCUCUUCCUGGUGGCUCUUAACAUCAAGUGCUGUAAUUACCUACUUUGCUGUUGUUGUUACUGAUCUCCUUUACGGUGGCUAGCUCCUUCAGAACAGGUUCUGUGUCUCAUUUAUCAUUGAUCCUUGGCAUCUGGCACAGUACUUAACACAUAACUAACACUCAGUAACUAUUUAUUUACUGUAUGGAAAAAAAUGCAUGACUAACUCUAAUACUUGGGGCGCAUGAAUAUACGAUACAGGCUUCACAAUCUACUAGUAUUGCUGCUUUAGAAUAUGAGGUGUAUGUAAGUUUGGUGUGCUAAUCACUCUCAUAUCUGAGCAAACCAACAAACACCUAUCAAAAGAGAGUUAUUAUGUAUAUAUUCCAAGUCCUAAAGAAUCCUAUGUAGUACUGCAUUCCAGAAGCUUCUAAAUAUGGAAAAGAAUCAGAAGAAAAAAUAAUAACCAUCAGCACCAGAACUACAAUUUACUCAAGGUCUGGGCAUUACGAAAGAAGGUACAUGUCUCACAGGAAAACAGAUUUAGAAAAGAGGAGAUCUAGAUAGUCAAUAAACAUGAAAAGGUGCUCAAUAUCAUGGGUCAUCAGAGAAAAGUAAAUUAAGACCACAAUGCAAUACAAUACCAUAAUACACCCACCAGAAUAGCACAAUAAAAAAGACAGACAAUGCCAUGUAUUAGUCAAGAAAUAGAGCAACUGGAACUUUUAUAUGUUGCUGGAGGGAAUGUAAAUUAGUGCAAACACUUGGGAAAACAAUAAAUUGAUGCAAAAUGCAUAACUACCAAAACUGAACAUAUAUAUACUC